rnacentral:tRNA from 1 species
GUCGCCGUACCCAAGUGGCCGAAGGGGAGCGGCUCAGGACCGCUUGGUUAGUCCUUCCGAGGUUCGAAUCCUCGCGGCGACA